GUGGGGGAUAUUGCACAAUGGGGGAAACCCUGAUGCAGCGACGCCGCGUGAAGGAAGACGUACUUCGGUAUGUAAACUUCUAUCAGCAGGGAAGAAGAUGACGGUACCUGACUAAGAAGCCCCGGCUAACUACGUGCCAGCAGCCGCGGUAAUACGUAGGGGGCAAGCGUUAUCCGGAUUUACUGGGUGUAAAGGGAGCGUAGACGGUGAAGCAAGUCUGAUGUGAAAACCCGGGGCUCAACUCCGGGAUUGCAUUGGAAACUGUUUUACUUGAGUGCUGGAGGGGCAAGCGGAAUUCCUGGUGUAGCGGUGAAAUGCGUAGAUAUCAGGAAGAACACCGGUGGCGAAGGCGGCUUGCUGGACAGUAACUGACGUUGAGGCUCGAAAGCGUGGGGAGCAAACAAGAUUAGAUACCCUGGUAGUCC
rnacentral:rRNA from 1 species